GAUGAACGCUGGCGGCGUGCCUAAUACAUGCAAGUCGAGCGAACAGACGAGGAGCUUGCUCCUCUGACGUUAGCGGCGGACGGGUGAGUAACACGUGGAUAACCUACCUAUAAGACUGGGAUAACUUCGGGAAACCGGAGCUAAUACCGGAUAAUAUAUUGAACCGCAUGGUUCAUUAGUGAAAGACGGUUUUGCUGUCACUUAUAGAUGGAUCCGCGCCGCAUUAGCUAGUUGGUAAGGUAACGGCUUACCAAGGCAACGAUGCGUAGCCGACCUGAGAGGGUGAUCGGCCACACUGGAACUGAGACACGGUCCAGACUCCUACGGGAGGCAGCAGUAGGGAAUCUUCCGCAAUGGGCGAAAGCCUGACGGAGCAACGCCGCGUGAGUGAUGAAGGUCUUCGGAUCGUAAAACUCUGUUAUUAGGGAAGAACAAAUGUGUAAGUAACUAUGCACGUCUUGACGGUACCAAAUCAGAAAGCCACGGCUAACUACGUG
rnacentral:rRNA from 1 species